rnacentral:lncRNA from 1 species
UCUGAUUUUGAAAUUAUUUAUGUUUGCUUUAGUGUUAGCCUUAGCUUAGCCAUUAGUUCUCCCCUCCCCCUUUGAUGUAGAAAUGAUGAAAGGUAAAACGAAUCUUGAGGAGCCCAUUUAUAUCACUUCGAUGAGGAUUAUCUGGAAUAUCUGUGAAAAUGCAGAUUACUGUGCUCUAUCCCAUACCCACUGAAUCCUAAUCUCCACUGGAAUGGUCCAAGAACCUCCACAUCUCAUGAACAAUCCAGAUGAUUCUCACAUAUUUGAAUAUGGAAAACUACUACCUGAGGGCAACUAUUCAACUUGUAUUCAUAUAAAAAGGCAAUGUCACACUAAAGGCAUUUCUU